rnacentral:tRNA from 1 species
UGGUCCGUAGCUCAGUUGGUUAGAGUACUACCUUGACAUGGUAGGGGUCGGCGAUUCGAGUUCGCCCGGACCCA